AUUAAAUGGCUGAAAUUUAGGCAAUAGACUGUAAAUCUAUUUAUGAGAGUUAUUCUCUUUAAUCAUAAAUAAUUGGCUUUAUAGUCA
rnacentral:tRNA from 1 species